rnacentral:rRNA from 1 species
GCAAGUACGAGCGGUAUGAAGGGAGCUUGCUCCUGGAUUCAGCGGCGGACGGGUGAGUAAUGCCUAGGAAUACAGCCUGGUAGUGGGGGAUAACGUCCGGAAACGGGCGCUAAUACCGCAUACGUCCUGAGGGAGAAAGUGGGGGAUCUUCGGACCUCACGCUAUCAGAUGAGCCUAGGUCGGAUUAGCUAGUUGGUGGGGUAAAGGCCUACCAAGGCGACGAUCCGUAACUGGUCUGAGAGGAUGAUCAGUCACACUGGAACUGAGACACGGUCCAGACUCCUACGGGAGGCAGCAGUGGGGAAUAUUGGACAAUGGGCGAAAGCCUGAUCCAGCCAUGCCGCGUGUGUGAAGAAGGUCUUCGGAUUGUAAAGCACUUUAAGUUGGGAGGAAGGGCAGUAAGUAAAUACCUUGCUGUUUUGACGUUACCAACAGAAUAAGCACCGGCUAACUUCGUGCCAGCAGCCGCCGUAAUACGAAGGGUGCAAGCGUUAAUCGGAUUAACUGGGCGUAAAGCGCCCGUAGGUGGGUUCAGCAAGGUGGGAUGUGAAAAUCCCCCGGGCUCAACCCUGGGAACUGCAUUCCAAACCUACUGAGCCU